rnacentral:rRNA from 1 species
AUUGAACGCUGGCGGCAUGCUUUACACAUGCAAGUCGAACGGCAGCACGGGCUUCGGCCUGGUGGCGAGUGGCGAACGGGUGAGUAAUGCAUCGGAACGUGCCCAUUUGUGGGGGAUAACUACGCGAAAGCGUGGCUAAUACCGCAUACGCCCUGAGGGGGAAAGCGGGGGAUUCUUCGGAACCUCGCGCAAUUGGAGCGGCCGAUGUCAGAUUAGCUUGUUGGUGAGGUAAAGGCUCACCAAGGCGACGAUCUGUAGCGGGUCUGAGAGGAUGAUCCGCCACACUGGGACUGAGACACGGCCCAGACUCCUACGGGAGGCAGCAGUGGGGAAUUUUGGACAAUGGGGGCAACCCUGAUCCAGCCAUGCCGCGUGAGUGAAGAAGGCCUUCGGUUGUAAGACGUCUUUCUAGCCGGGAA